AAGCAUGGUAUGGAAGCAGCCAGCCAUCUAUUCAAGUGUGAGGCAGUAGGGGGAUAAUGAAAUUGGACCCAGCACUCUGAAGCACAGACGUGACAUCACCCAGACCUUCCUCUUCUGUCUGCAGCGGGUGGCAGCUGCUCGGUUCCUUUCCAGAAAUUUCCGCCGCCUCUCGUCCGGGUCUUCAUCCACUACCCUUCUCCGGCGCCCCCCGGUUCAAGGGGUCCCUGAAUCGACUGGCCGAACUCACUGCUUCUGCCUCAGCACAGCCCACCACUCUGGACAUCAAAGUACUCUGCCCACCAUGCCCUCACUCUCUCUCUGGGAUGCAAGCACUGCACCUCAUGAGACUUCUCAGUUCUGUUAUUUAUGUGUCUGGACAUCUAAUGCUUUCCUAGUAUAUAGCUAUGAAUGAAGAAAAGGGUAGGGGGAGGAGAGAAGUUUGUGUUUUUUUUCCAUUUCUCGAUCACCAGGUUUAUAUAUCUAUAAAGCUGCUUUUAUGGGGACACAACCUGUGGGAGCAGCAGGCAGAAGACUUUAGAAGCAAAACUCAAUUUCCCAUUUCUAGCCUGUCUCAACGUUUUGGUCAGGAUCAAUCAGAAUGUCUUUAAUUAUGUUAACUGUGGUUCCUUAUUGACUUUAUAAGGGGUGGUGCACUGAAGAUGUAUUUCAACCUCAAACUCAAUCCAAUUUUAUGUGGAUGACUGGACGAUAAUUAGGCUCCGAGUGGUAUUUUGCAGGUGAUCGUGAGAGUGGGUGUGAUUUCUUUUAUUUAAAGCAAAGGGCUUUCUUCACUCAUGUAAGAAAGCAAAAUUAAUGGUCAAAGGCACUAUUAGGCCUUAGUCAUCAGUGUGAUUGGUGAGGUAGGAACCCAUUUCGGUGGGAAAGAUUUAGCAGUUGUCACUUUAGAUGCCUAGUACUUAAGCCAAACCAACUAUUCCAAAGCAAAACAUCAGUUUCCCCAGAAGAGAACAAACUGAACUGCUCUUUUUUUUUUUUAACUUCCAUACAGUACAUUUUGCAAAAUAAAUUAUGGUCUACAUGUGCACAUUCAGCACCUCGCAAAGCCUUAAGAAACUAACUGUAGACACAAACCCGAAUCGGC